rnacentral:tRNA from 1 species
GCUUGGAUACUCAAGGGGCUUAAGAGGCUCGCUUGGAAAGCGAGUAGGCGGGUCAUACCGUGCGCAGGUUCAAAUCCUGUUCCAAGCGCCA